UGGGGAAUUUUGGACAAUGGGCGAAAGCCUGAUCCAGCAAUGCCGCGUGUGUGAAGAAGGCCUUCGGGUUGUAAAGCACUUUUGUCCGGAAAGAAAUCCUUGGCUCUAAUACAGUCGGGGGAUGACGGUACCGGAAGAAUAAGCACCGGCUAACUACGUGCCAGCAGCCGCGGUAAUACGUAGGGUGCAAGCGUUAAUCGGAAUUACUGGGCGUAAAGCGUGCGCAGGCGGUUUGCUAAGACCGAUGUGAAAUCCCCGGGCUCAACCUGGGAACUGCAUUGGUGGCUGGCAGGCUAGAGUAUGGCAGAGGGGGGUAGAAUUCCACGUGUAGCAGUGAAAUGCGUAGAGAUGUGGAGGAAUACCGAUGGCGAAGGCAGCCCCCUGGGCCAAUACUGACGCUCAUGCACGAAAGCGUGGGGAGCAAACAGGAUUAGAUACCCUGGUAGUCCACGCCCUAAACGAUGUCAACUAGUUGUUGGGGAUUCAUUUCCUUAGUAACGUAGCUAACGCGUGAAGUUGACCGCCUGGGGAGUACGGUCGCAAGAUUAAAACUUAAAUGAAUUGACGGGGUCAU
rnacentral:rRNA from 1 species